CAUGAAAUAACCGACUAAAUGCAUUUCUUCAGGUAUUGGACGCCAACCCAGCUCAUGUCAAAGCUCUGUACCGCCGUGGAAUGGCAUACAUGGCUGUUGGUAAUUUUGAAGAAGCUAGAGCAGAUUUCAAUAAGAUGAUGCGCGUUGACAAAUCAUCAGAAGCAAUCCGCCAACGCAGCUCUUCUUAAACUGAAAAAGGAGGAGCAGGAAAUUCAUAAACAGUUGAAGGGGUUGUUUGACAAGAAAGCAGGGGAGAUUUCUGAGGCUGGUGCAAGAAGAGGCUCCUGGUGUAAGCCUUGAUGCCGAUGCUUUAAAGAACAUCUUCUUGAGGCCACUGCUCCUCCGCCUGCGAGCAUAUGGUCCAGAUUAUGGCCUAGUGGCAGAAAACUUUUUACAACUCUUGGAUUAGAUAGAUGUGCCAUAUUGUGACAUUCUUCUUUUUUUGAUCCAUAUUGUCACAUUCUAAUAUGGACAAACUUCCAAUAAAACAUUAUCUCUUAUCUAGAGGAGGAACUUACAUUUUUGAGAGAUAAUAUAUCACUCGGUCUAGUUAUUUUUAUGUUGCAAAUUAGUGUUACAUUUCAUAUAUUGCCCAAAUGUCAUCACUAGGUGUGCAUUUUCCAUAUUUUAAUUUAACAAAUUACGACACAUUAUGUGAAUAUCUGUAAUUUUAUACAUGUGAAUUUCAGGAUAAAAGUUGCCCAGAAGUUUUGGAGUAGGGAUGUUUUGCUGGUUGAAAUGGAUUUAUUUGAAUUAUCCCUAUCGUCCUCUUCCUCUGUAACAGCUAAAAGUCUAAAAUCACAAAUCAUCCAAAUAUAUUUAGAAGCAUAAAAAUCUCAUGUAUCACGAUAAUUCAAAAAACAAAAACUAUGUUUCGGAAUAAAAAGUGAAAUGUAGUAAAACAUGGAAAAUAGAAUUAAAUAAGAAAAAACAAGAUAGAAGUUGUUGAAUAAAACAUACAUCACAUACUAUAAUAAUAGUCAUACAACGUAGACUCGACCUCCUCAAUGUGAUACUGAUAGAGAGAGGCAACAAGAUUUCCGGCGGCGUGUCCGGCCACGGCGGCAGGCAAAGAAGACGAAAUCGGUGGCCACUAUGGCUAUGAUGGCCAAGUAAGUCAUGAACAUCUGAAGCGCCCGCAAGGCGGCAGCGGCGGCCAGGUUCCGCCGCCGGGUGAUGGGGUAGUUGGAGCAGAACUCGGCGGUGAAGGUGAGCAGAAACACCAACAAGAGAGAGAAACAAUAGUCAUAUGGAGAUUGGUGGUUAGGCCAGCCAUGGCAACAGCCUCAUCAAAUACCAAUUCCAAAAUCUGCUAUAUGAAUAUGAGAUUGAAGACACCUCCAUUUACACUAAACUCUGCUCACCACCCAAAUCAUAUAGUAUUUCUUGAGGUUUGGUGGAAUGGAUUAUAUUUAUAUGAUUGCAUAAGUUGCUU